rnacentral:misc_RNA from 1 species
GCUUUGCGGCUGGAUCCCCUCCUUUUAAAGAGAAACCUGAGCUUUUCCUCCUCGUCUACGAGGAACUGAAAGCUCCAGGCCGAUCCUGACCGCUCUUGCCCGGAGAUAUCCGUCCAGUCUAUUCCCGGCGGUGCCUAGCGCCGUUGGGUCGCGUCCAACCAAUCGUUUUAUCGGGGCCGUAUGAGUCGAGUCUCGGAAGACGUCGGGGCUGUAGCUCAGCUGGGAGAGCGCCUGAUUUGCAUUCAGGAGGUCGUCGGUUCGAUCCCGAUCAGCUCCACCAGGCGUAGAUUGGGCGUGUAGCUCAGUUGGUUAGAGCGCAUCCCUGAUAAGGAUGAGGUCGCUGGUUCAAAUCCAGCCACGCCCACCACUGAACUCACGGCCGUUGGAUUCUGGCAGGUCUGAGCGAUAGGCGUUCGCUGAGCGCCCAUCGUUGAGACCUGACGAAGGUUGGGUCCCGUGAUCUUUGAAAUCUGAAUAUCGAAGGGCACAAUAGCAAUAUCGUCGGGCAUUGUCGUCAGCCUGCAAGGGCGGCGGCAAGCCAACGAGCGCCUUGCCCGGGUCGCGCUGUUCCGUAGGGGCGGCGUCGUUCCGGGUAAAUUUUAUGGUCAAGCUACUAAGGGCGUACGGGGGAUGCCUUGGCGAGAGCAGGCGAUGAAGGACGCGGCUACCUGCGAAAAGCUUCGGUGAGCUGGAAGCAAGCUACGACCCGAAGAUGUCCGAAUGGGGAAACCCGGAAGC